GGGAAUUGUCCCUUCAAAAGAGGUGGGGGCUCAUCCAAGCCGAAUGCAACAAGUUCGCUGGCACGCACGAUCACGUGAAGGCCAGGCGGCUGAGUGGCGUCGGCGUCCAGGACGUGAUACUCAAGGAGGCCCCGAAGUGGCCAGAGCUCUAUAUCUCCACCAAGAAGAGCCCCUCUAAUGGGAAGAAGCGUGACGACAUCACCAUCGACCUUGAGGCCUCCGGCCACACCGAGGCAGCAACCCGGGCCGUCCGGCCAAGGGGAAGGACCAACUCCAAGGGCGAGGCCAAGCGCGAGGCCUCCAACCUCACCUUCGAAGAGACCCUUAAGAAGAUCUGGUUGGAGAAGGAGGCAUGAAGAGAGAAGUUGCAACAAAUGACGGAGGAGCAAAUGAAGGACUACGUCGAGGUGCAGAAGAGGAAGCUCGUCAUCCAUGAGGCCAAUGCUAGGACAACUGCCAAGGCAGCCGAGGCCGCUAUGCUCGUCGAGGAGACAAGGAUAAUGACGGCGGACUUGAGCCUCCUGGACCCACCGACGUGAGCUUGGUUCGAGGCCAGGAGGAAGAUGAUGCAAGAACGAGAUGCGCCCUCGCCCUCGCAGGAUGAAGAUGCGGCCUCGCCAUCUAGUUGAUCGCCAAUUCUGUCGCCCAAUUUGGUUGCAUUUUGUUGUAAUGAACUAUACUUAUGUCCGCCGGUGAGGCCUGAACAUUUAUUUGUUAA